rnacentral:rRNA from 1 species
CAGCAGCCGCGGUAAUACGAAGGGUGCAAGCGUUACUCGGAAUUACUGGGCGUAAAGCGUGCGUAGGUGGUGGUUUAAGUCCGUUGUGAAAGCCCUGGGCUCAACCUGGGAAUUGCAGUGGAUACUGGAUCACUAGAGUGUGGUAGAGGAUAGUGGAAUUUCCGGUGUAGCAGUGAAAUGCGUAGAGAUCGGAAGGAACAUCUGUGGCGAAGGCGACUAUCUGGGCCAACACUGACACUGAGGCACGAAAGCGUGGGGAGCAAACAGGAUUAGAUACCCCGGUAGUCCCUGUCUCUUAUAC